GACGAACCGAGCGAACGUUGUUCGGAAUCACUGGGCGUAAAGGGCUCGUAGGCGGUCUGUUGCGUCGGGAGUGAAAACUUACAGCUUAACUGUGAGCGUGCUUUCGAUACGGGCAGACUUGAGGCAUUCAGGGGAGAACGGAAUUCCUGGUGUAGCGGUGAAAUGCGUAGAUAUCGUAAGGAAGACCAGUGGCGAAGGCGGGUCUCUGGACAGUUCCUGACGCUGAGGCACGAAGGCCAGGGGAGCAAACGGG
rnacentral:rRNA from 1 species